rnacentral:rRNA from 1 species
AUUGAACGCUGGCGGCAGGCCUAACACAUGCAAGUCGAACGAGUGGCGGACGGGUGAGUAAUGUCUGGGAAACUGCCCGAUGGAGGGGGAUAACUACUGGAAACGGUAGCUAAUACCGCAUACCAUCGGAUGUGCCCAGAUGGGAUUAGCGUGUAGGUGAGGUAACGGCUCACCUAGGCGACGAUCACUAGCUGGUCUGAGAGGAUGACCAGCCACAGUGGAACUGAGCCACGGUCCAGACUACGACGGGAGGCAGCAGUGGGGAAUAUUGCACAAUGGGCGCAAGCCUGAUGCAGCCAUGCCGCGGGUAUGAAGAAGGCAUUCGUGUUGUAAAGUACUUUCAGCGGGGAGGCGUUACCCGCAGAAGAAGCACCGGCUAACGCCGGGCCAGCAGCCGCGGUAAUAC